UCAAUAAGCGGAGGAAAAGAAACUAACAAGGAUUCCCCUAGUAACUGCGAGUGAAGCGGGAAAAGCUCAAAUUUGAAAUCUGGCAGUCUUUGAUUGUCCGAGUUGUAAUCUAGAGAAGUGUUACCCGCGUUGGACCGUGUAUAAGUCUCCUGGAAUGGAGCGUCAUAGAGGGUGAGAAUCCCGUCUUUGACACGGACUACCAAGGCUUUUGUGGUAUGCUCUCAAAGAGUCGAGUUGUUUGGGAAUGCAGCUCAAAAUGGGUGGUAAAUGCCAUCUAAAGCUAAAUACAGGCGAGAGACCGAUAGCGAACAAGUACCGUGAGGGAAAGAUGAAAAGAACUUUGGAAAGAGAGUUAAACAGUACGUGAAAUUGCUGAAAGGGAAACGCUUGAAGUCAGUCGCGUUGGCUGGAAAUCAACCUUUGCUUUUGCUGGGUGUACUUUCUAGUCGACGGGUCAGCAUCAGUUUUGACCAGUGGAUAAAGGCAUAAGAAAUGUGGCUCCUUUGGGAGUGUUAUAGUYCUUUGUUGUAUACAUUGGUUGGGACUGAGGAACUCAGCACGCCGCAAGGCCGGGGUUCGCCCACGUACGUGCUUAGGAUGCUGGCAAAAUGGCUUUAAUCGACCCGUCUUGAAACACGGACCAAGGAGUCUAACAUGCCUGCGAGUGUUUGGGUGGAAAACCCGAGCGCGUAAUGAAAGUGAAAGUUGAGAUCCCUGUCGUGGGGAGCAUCGACGCCCAGACCAGACCUUUUGUGACGGAUCUGCGGUAGAGCAUGUAUGUUGGGACCCGAAAGAUGGUGAACUAUGCCUGAAUAGGGUGAAGCCAGAGGAAACUCUGGUGGAGGCUCGUAGCGAUUCUGACGUGCAAAUCGAUCGUCAAAUUUGGGUAUAGGGGCGAAAGACUAAUCGAACCAU
rnacentral:rRNA from 1 species